AUUAAAUUACUUUAAAACAGGCCGUUCUCCUUGGGAGAAGGCCCGUAGGCAGCAGCCAUGGCGCCCAGCCGAAAUGGCAUGAUCCUAAAGCCCCACUUCCACAAGGACCGGCAGCGGCGCGUUGCCACGUGGUUUAACCAGUCCACAGACGCAAGGCCAGGCAAGCCAAAGCGCCGCAUCCCCCUCUGACCUAUCCGCAUCCCCCUCUGACCUAUCCGACCCAUAGUGAGAUGCCCCACCGCCAGGAACCACCAUUCAGCUUGGAAGGGUUAAGGACGGCUGGCAGCCACAAAAAGGUGGCCUGGACCACUGGGAUCUCGGUGGGUCCCUGCAGGCCAACGUGCAGCGGCUGACGGAGUACCGCUCCAAGCCCAUCCUCUUCCCCAGGAAGCCUUCGGCCCCCAAGAAGGGAGACAGUUCUGCUGAAGAACUCAAAUUGGCCACCCAGCUGAGCGGACCAGUCAUGCCCAUCCAGAAUGUCUACAAGAAGGAGAAAGCCAGGGUCAUCACAGAGGAGGAGGAGAACUUCAAGGCUUUUGUCAGUCUUCGCCUGGCCCAUGCCAAUGCCCGGCUCUUUGGCAUCAGGGCAAAAAGAGCCAAAGAAGCUGCAGAACAGGAUGUUGAAAAGAAAAAAUAAAGUACCGUUGGCAAC